rnacentral:tRNA from 2 species
GGGCCCGUAGCUCAGCGGCAGAGCGACAGCCUUUUAAGCUGUGCGUCGGAGGUUCGACUCCUCCCGGGCUCA